rnacentral:tRNA from 1 species
ACCUGGGUGGCUCAGUCAGUUAAGCGUCUGACUUUAGCUCAGGUCUUGAUCUCAUGGUUUGUGGGUUCGAGUCCCACGUCAGGCU